AUUGAACGCUGGCGGCAGGCCUAACACAUGCAAGUCGAACGAGUGGCGGACGGGUGAGUAAUGUCUGGGAAACUGCCUGAUGGAGGGGGAUAACUACUGGAAACGGUAGCUACUACCGCAUACCAUCGGAUGUGCCCAGAUGGGAUUAGCGAGUGGGUGGGGUAACGGCUCACAUAGGCGACGAUGCCUAGCUGGGCUGAGAGGAUGACCAGCCACACUGGAACUGAGACACGGUCCAGACUCCUACGGGAGGCAGCAGUGGGGAAUAUUGCACAAUGGGCGAAAGCCUGAUGCAGCCAUGCCGCGUGUAUGAAGAAGGCCUUCGGGUUGUAAAGUACUUUCAGCGAGGAGGCGUUACUCGCAGAAGAAGCACCGGCUAACUCCGUGCCAGCAGCCGCGGUAAUAC
rnacentral:rRNA from 1 species